GCUGGGCAUGGUGGCGCAUGCCUGUAAUCCCAGCUACUCUGGAGGCUGAGGCAGGAGAAUCGCUUGAAUCCAGGAGGUGGUGGUUGCAGUGAGCUGAGAUCAUGCCAUUGCACUCCAGCCUGGGCAACAGGGCGAGACUCUGUCUCAA
rnacentral:SRP_RNA from 2 species